GACGAACGCUGGCGGCGUGCCUAAUACAUGCAAGUUGUGCGCUGAAGGUUGGUACUUGUACCGACUGGAUGAGCAGCGAACGGGUGAGUAACGCGUGGGGAAUCUGCCUUUGAGCGGGGGACAACAUUUGGAAACGAAUGCUAAUACCGCAUAACAACUUUAAACACAAGUUUUAAGUUUGAAAGAUGCAAUUGCAUCACUCAAAGAUGAUCCCGCGUUGUAUUAGCUAGUUGGUGAGGUAAAGGCUCACCAAGGCGAUGAUACAUAGCCGACCUGAGAGGGUGAUCGGCCACAUUGGGACUGAGACACGGCCAAACUCCUACGGGAGGCAGCAGUAGGGAAUCUUCGGCAAUGGACGAAAGUCUGACCGAGCAACGCCGCGUGAGUGAAGAAGGUUUUCGGAUCGUAAAACUCUGUUGGUAGAGAAGAACGUUGGUGAGAGUGGAAAGCUCAUCAAGUGACGGUAACUACCCAGAAAGGGACGGCUAACUACGUGCCAGCAGCCGCCGUAA
rnacentral:rRNA from 1 species